rnacentral:rRNA from 1 species
AGCGAACGCUGGCGGCAGGCCUAACACAUGCAAGUCGAACGAACUCUUCGGAGUUAGUGGCGGACGGGUGAGUAACACGUGGGAACGUGCCUUUUGGUUCGGAAUAACCCAGGGAAACUUGUGCUAAUACCGAAUGUGCCCUUCGGGGGAAAGAUUUAUCGCCAUUAGAGCGGCCCGCGUCUGAUUAGCUAGUUGGUGAGGUAACGGCUCACCAAGGCGACGAUCAGUAGCUGGUCUGAGAGGAUGACCAGCCACACUGGGACUGAGACACGGCCCAGACUCCUACGGGAGGCAGCAGUGGGGAAUCUUGCGCAAUGGGCGAAAGCCUGACGCAGCCAUGCCGCGUGAAUGAUGAAGGUCUUAGGAUUGUAAAAUUCUUUCACCGGGGACGAUAAUGACGGUACCCGGAGAAGAAGCCCCGGCUAACUUCGUG